GACGAACGCUGGCGGCGUGCUUAACACAUGCAAGUCGAACGGAAAGGCCCUGCUUUUGUGGGGUGCUCGAGUGGCGAACGGGUGAGUAACACGUGAGUAACCUGCCCUUGACUUUGGGAUAACUUCAGGAAACUGGGGCUAAUACCGGAUAGGAGCUCCUGCUGCAUGGUGGGGGUUGGAAAGUUUCGGCGGUUGGGGAUGGACUCGCGGCUUAUCAGCUUGUUGGUGGGGUAGUGGCUUACCAAGGCUUUGACGGGUAGCCGGCCUGAGAGGGUGACCGGCAACAUUGGGACUGAGAUACGGCCCAGACUCCUACGGGAGGCAGCGGUGGGGAAUAUUGCACAAUGGGCGGAAGCCUGAUGCAGCAACGCCGCGUGCGGGAUGACGGCCUUCGGGUUGUAAACCGCUUUCGCCUGUGACGAAGCGUGAGUGACGGUAAUGGGUAGAGAAGCACCGGCUAACUACGUG
rnacentral:rRNA from 1 species